rnacentral:rRNA from 1 species
UACGAAGGGAGCUAGCGUUGUUCGGAAUCACUGGGCGUAAAGCGCACGUAGGCGGCUUCUCAAGUCAGGGGUGAAAUCCUGGAGCUCAACCCCGGGAACUGCCUUUGAUACCUGGGUAUCUCGAGUCCGAGAGAGGUGAGUGGAAUUCCGAGUGUAGAGGUGAAAUUCGUAGAUAUUCGGAAGGAACACCAGUGGCGAAGGCGGCUCACUGGCUCGGUACUGACGCUGGAGGUGCGAAAGCGUGGGGAGCAAAGCAGG